rnacentral:rRNA from 1 species
UACGUAGGUGGCAAGCGUUGUUCGGAAUUACUGGGUGUAAAGGGAGCGUAGGCGGGAGCACAAGUUGAAUGUAUAAACUACCGGCUUAACCGAUAGAAGCGUUCAAAACUGUGUUUCUUGAGUGAAGUAGAGGCAGGCGGAAUUCCUAGUGUAGCGGUGAAAUGCGUAGAUAUUAGGAGGAACACCAGUGGCGAAGGCGGCCUGCUGGGCUUUAACUGACGCUGAGGCUCGAAAGCGUGGGUAGCAAACAG